rnacentral:tRNA from 1 species
GGGUCCCCUUCGUCUAGAGGCCUAGGACACCGCCCUUUCACGGCGGUAACAGGGGUUCGAAUCNCCAGGGUCCCCU